GACGAACGCUGGCGGCGUGCUUUACACAUGCAAGUCGAGCGGUAAGGCCCCUUCGGGGGUACGACGAGCGGCGAACGGGUGAGUAACACGUGGGCAAUCUACCUUUGACACUGGGAUAACUUCCGGAAACGGAAGCUAAUACCGGAUACCCAGCUCCAUCCGCAUGGACGGAUCUGGAAAGCUCCGACGGUCAAAGAUGAGCCCGCGGCCUA
rnacentral:rRNA from 1 species